CCUACGGGUGGCAGCAGUGAGGAAUAUUGGUCAAUGGCCGGAAGGCUGAACCAGCCAAGUCGCGUGAGGGAAUAAGGCCCUAUGGGUCGUAAACCUCUUUUGUCAGGGAGCAAAGGCGUCCACGUGUGGACGAGAGGAGAGUACCUGAAGAAAAAGCAUCGGCUAACUCCGUGCCAGCAGCCGCGGUAAUACGGAGGAUGCGAGCGUUAUCCGGAUUUAUUGGGUUUAAAGGGUGCGUAGGCGGCCUUUUAAGUCAGCGGUGAAAGUCUGUGGCUCAACCAUAGAAUUGCCGUUGAAACUGGGGGGCUUGAGUAUGUUUGAGGCAGGCGGAAUGCGUGGUGUAGCGGUGAAAUGCUUAGAUAUCACGCAGAACCCCGAUUGCGAAGGCAGCCUGCCAAGCCAUGACUGACGCUGAUGCACGAAAGCGUGGGGAUCAAACAGGAUUAGAUACCCCAGUAGUC
rnacentral:rRNA from 1 species